AGAAAUCUUUACAGCAAUGAACUGUUAAUAUCAUUAGCAGCUUCUAUAUACUGUAUAUAUGUUUAUAUAUGCAUAUCAUUAUACAGCUGCAAGUAUAAUUGGUUUGUUUAAAUCAGCUUUAUGAAUAAAUAUACCACUAUGGCAGCUUACAUCUGUUAUGCCCCAUUAGCUGAACAUAUGUUUUUACAAAACAAAACUAAAAACUUACACUGCCAAAAGUUAAUACAACACAAUUACCAAGCACUAUGGCAGGAGAGCAUUUUAAAUGUGGACAGCUUUGCUGGAGGUGGCGCUUUCGGUUCCUUGUGGGUCAUCUUCGGC
rnacentral:lncRNA from 1 species